GCUAGAUCUCGCCUUUCACCUAGGCCGAGGUCGGUGAUCUUGGGCUUAAAAAGCAAUGGAAGCGCACGUCAUUGAGAGUGGAGUCAUCCAGGCCAUACUGGUACUUCUCCAUCUUGGUCUCGAUGCCACAGAUUCCUCCGUCACCACACUCCUCGCUCCAGGAGCCGUACACUCCCCAGUCCAGGCCCAUGCCCUCCAGCAGAGGGUUGCUGCUGCAGCGGAACUUGAUGUUGUUGAUAGCCGUGUCGUCACCAAACAGACCCUGAUGGGGCUGCACGCGGAUCUGGAAAGAUGUGAGCAUGCCCUUGGGGCAGUACUGGGGAGGUGACCAGUCACCAAAGCUGGGCAGGAGAGGAGAAAUACAAGAGAAGGAUCAGGGGAACAAAUCAGGAAGAGAUCCAAUUUGAAGACUGGAAACUCUGGAAGAGAUUGGAUACAUUUACAAACGUGGUUUUGGAAUCCUGGAAAAAAAAAAACGCUUUUUAUUUCCACUGUGAACAUGAUGGGUAACUGCCAGCUGCAGAUGACUGUAUUUAUUACAUUUCUAUUUCUAUUUAAACUUUGUAAUCCUACUUUACCCCAGUCAUUGAUCCUUAUAUUGGUUUUUUCUUUUUUCUUGGUAUGUUAGAAGAAUAUAACAGUUUGCUGGAUUAUGUAUAAUUAAGGUGGUGAUUUAUUUUUCCUUUGUAAAUAUCUUUGUAAUGUGUUUUAAUGUGAGACAUCUAGACCAAAAUCUAUAAACUAACAAUGUAUUAACACAA